rnacentral:rRNA from 1 species
UUUUUUGAGAGUUUGAUCCUGGCUCAGGAUGAACGCUGGCGGCGUGCCUUAGGCAUGCAAGUCGAGCGGUCCGGCGCAAGCCGGACAGCGGCAGACGGCUGAGUAACGCGUAGGAACAUACCUCGAGGAGGUGGACAGCUCAUCGAAAGAUGGGGUAAUACACCGUACCUUGGAUGGAGAUUCAAGGGCAUAAAAUUUCUAAUUUCUAAAAACAAAUCCCAACAUUUCAAUUAGAAAUUAGUAAUUUGUACUUUUGAGUCUUCAUCCAAGAAAGGGAGUAACUUCUCGCCUUGAGAUUGGCCUGCGUCCUAUCAGGCAGUUGGUGGGGUAAUGGCCUACCAAACCGAUGACGGGUAGGGGGUGUGAGAGCACGACCCCCCAGAAUGGGACUGAGACACGGCCCAUACACCUACGGGUGGCAGCAACCGGGAAUCUUCCCCAAUGGACGAAAGUCUGAGGGAGCGACGCCGCGUGAAGGAUGAAGGCCCUCGGGUCGUAAACUUCUUUUGCCAGGGAGAAUAAAAGAUAGUACCUGGCGAAUAAGCACCUGCUAACUACGUGCCAGAAGCCUCGGUAAUACGUAGGGUGCAAGCGUUAUCCGGAUUUACUGGGCGUAAAGAGUGCGUAGGUGGCCAAACAAGUCACAUUUUAAAGACCCCGACUCAAUCGGGGGAAAGGGUGCGAUACUGUUUGGCUAGAAAAUUGGGGGGGAGGCUGGAAUUUCCGGUGUAGCAGUGAAAUGCGUUGAUAUCGGAAAGAACACCAAAGGCGAAGGCAGGCCUCUAACCAAAUUUUGACGCUGAGGCACGAAAGCUAGGGGAGCGAAGCAGAUUAGAGACCUGCGUAGUCCUAGCCGUAAACGAUGCCCGCUAGAUACCCGGGGGACAGAGGACAGAAGGCAAAGGACAGAUUUUUCUGUCUUCAGUUUUCCGUUUUCCGUCCUCUGGGUGUCGCAAGGUAACCCGUUAAGCGGGCCGCCUGGGAAGUACGGCCGCAAGGCUAAAACUCAAAGGAAUUGACGGGGACCCGCACAAGCAGUGGAGCGUGUGGUUUAAUUCGAGACGAAGCGAAAAACCUCACCAGGGCUUGACAUCUCGCCGUUUUAUUCUGAUGGAAACAUUGGAAGAUCCGUAAGGAAGGCGGGACAGGUGAUGCAUGGCUGUCGUCAGCUCGUACCGUGAGGUGUUGGCUUAAGUGCCAUAACGAGCGCAACCCGCAUCCUUUGUUAAAUUUUUUCAAAGGGAACAGCCUCGAUUUUUUCGGGGAGGAAGGAGCGGAUGACGUCAAGUCAGCACGUCCCUUAUGCCCUGGGCGACACACACCCUACAAUGGCGAAAAACAACGAGUUGCAAGCCGGUAACGGCAAGCUAAUCUCUGAAAUUUCGCCCCAGUUGGGAUUGAGGGCUGAAACUCGCCCUCAUGAACAUGGAAUUGCUAGUAAUCGCGGAUCAGCAGGCCGCGGUGAAUACGUUCUCGGGUCUUGUACAAAUUAAAUUGCGCCUUUCGGCCAAUUUUUCCAGAAGGUGAAAGUCCUUCUAA